rnacentral:rRNA from 1 species
AGAGUUUGAUCCUGGCUCAGAAUCAACGCUGGCGGCGCGCUUAACACAUGCAAGUCGCACGAGAAAGUGGAGCAAUCCAUGAGUAAAGUGGCGUACGGGUGAGUAACACGUGGAUCAUCUACCUCUUGGUGGGGAAUAACCCUGGGAAACCGGGGCUAAUACCGCAUAAGCCUGCGAAGGGAAAGCAGCAAUGCGCCGAGAGAGGAGUCCGCGGCCGAUUAGCUAGUUGGUAGGGUAAAGGCCUACCAAGGCAAUGAUCGGUAGCCGGCCUGAGAGGGCACACGGCCACACUGGCACUGAAACACGGGCCAGACUCCUACGGGAGGCAGCAGUGGGGAAUCUUGCACAAUGGAGGAAACUCUGAUGCAGCGACGCCGCGUGAGCGAUGAAGCCCUUCGGGGUGUAAAGCUCUUUCGACGGGAACGAUAAUGACGGUACCCGGAGAAGAAGCUGCGGCUAACUACGUGCCAGCAGCCGCGGUAAUACGUAGGCAGCAAGCGUUGUUCGGAAUUACUGGGCGUAAAGAGUGUGUAGGCGGUUCUCUAUGUUCGGUGUGAAAUCUCCCGGCUUAACUGGGAGGGUGCGCCGAAAACUGGAGGGCUUGAUUAUGGGAGAGGAAAGCGGAAUUCCUGGUGUAGCGGUGAAAUGCGUAGAUAUCAGGAGGAACACCUGCGGUGUAGACGGCUUUCUGGACCAUCACUGACGCUGAGACACGAAAGCGUGGGGAGCAAACCCGAUUAGAUACCCUGGUAGUCGCGCCCUAAACGAUGCAUACCUGGUGUGAGCCGUUCAUUCGAUCGUGCCGGACUAACGCGUUAAUAUGCCGCCUGGGGAGUACGGUCGCAAGGCUGAAACUCAAAGGAUUG